rnacentral:rRNA from 1 species
AACGGCGAGCGAAGAGGGAUAAGCUCAAAUUUUAAAUCUGUUGGGUUUCACCUAACAGAGUUGUAUUUUGAAGAAACGUUUUCUGCGUCCAGGAUUAGCCUAAAUCCUUUGGGAUAAGGUAUCAUGGAGGGUGAGAAUCCCGUUCAUGGUUAAUCUUAAGGAUGCUCUACGAUACGUUCUCCAAGAGUCGAGUUGUUUGGGWUUGCAGCUCAAAAUGGGAGGUAAAUUUCUCCUAAGGCUAAAUAUUGGCGAGAGACCGAUAGCGAACAAGUACCGUGAGGGAAAGAUGAAAAGAACUUUGAAAAGAGAGUUAAACAGUACGUGAAAUUGUUGAAAGGGAAACGAUUGAAGUCAGUCAUACCAACGGGAAAUCAACCUCUUGAGUUUGGUCUCGUGGGUUUYGAAGAGU